rnacentral:rRNA from 1 species
GUGUCAGCAGCCGCGGUAAUACGAACCGUCCAAACGUUAUUCGGAAUCACUGGGCUUAAAGGGUGCGUAGGCGGCCCGGGAAGUUGGGUGUGAAAUCCCUCGGCUUAACCGAGGAAUAGCGCUCAAAACUGCCGGGCUUGAGGGAGACAGAGGUGAGAGGAACUUAGGGUGGAGCGGUGAAAUGCGUUGAUAUCCUAAGGAACACCGGGGGCGAAAGCGGCUCACUGGGUCUUUUCUGACGCUGAGGCACGAAAGCUAGGGGAGCGAACGGGAUUAGGUACCCCGGUAGUCCUAGCCCUAAACGAUGAGCACUAGAUCGGAGAACAUCCCAUAGUUUUCUGGUCGUAGCAAAAGCGCUAAGUGCUCCGCCUGGGGAGUAUGGUCGCAAGGCUGAAACUCAAAUGAAUUGACGGGG